AGGCACGUGAGUGGUCAUGAGAAAAUCCCGCGUGGGCUGGCCUGUCUCCUCACUGCCCAUCUCCCCUCUGAGGUCACCCAACCCUCACCUAGCCCGGUGCUCUGGCCAUCCCAGUGGAACCCACAGAGUCUAAUGUGUCCUCAGUGAAAUCAGGUCAGGGAACAUUCGAGAAGCAACUUGGGGAGUCCAGCAGACACAAAUCUGGGCAGGAGAACAAAGCCGACCUGUCCACCAAGGAAACUCAAUCUGCUUAAGGCUGGCUCUCCCGUGUGACAGAGAAGAAAGGGCGCCUUCACAGGCUCAGCCCUGCUGCCUGCGGCACGGGGCCCGCGGGUGCCCUGUCCGCUCUCAUUUGUAUCCUGGGACCUGCUCGCCCCUCACAGCCUGGGGGUGGGUGCGGAGAAGUCCCCCUUCCCGCCCUGCCCCAGGCCACCGAGGAGAAGGGAGGUGGGAGAAUAGAAUCAGGAAAAGCCCUGAGUGAUGAAUGACCUCAAGGUUAAGGCUCUGAAGAUUGAAAAAAAAAAAAAAAAGACAGUGUGUUUUUGUCCUGGAAAUUGGCUCAUGGACAGAUUAAAUUUAGGAGUAACUGGGGCAGAUACGCAGGGAAGCGUGUUUCCUUAAUGAGCCUGUCUUUAUUUAACUGCUUAAUCAUUUACUGGGCCAAAACAUCUAGAGGUGACUCCAAAAGUCACCAUGAUGAAGACACUGAUGGAUUGUAUCCUGCUGGUCAGUUUCGGGGCCGGGCUCCUGCAACCUGGCCUUGCCAUGCCAACGGGGUGAGGGUGGGCGGCACCGACCGCCAGGAUGGUGCAGCUAUGUUGAUGGCCCCCACGACACAGACGCUCUGCUCAGGAAUAACUGUCUUGCAUGUCAUUUUCCUAACAGAGAGGUGACUGCGAAAGGCAAAAUCAGUUUGGAUGGUGCGUCCUCCUCCUGCCCUGACACCACCUCGCUCCAGCCAGCUAUGUUCCCUCCACUGCACUUCCCGUUCAUCCAACAAAGUGGUUUCAAGCAAUCAGUAUAUGUCCUGCAUGGGGCAAAAGGGCAUUGAAGAAAAAACGAAGAAAGCUGGUUCAGAGGGAAGAGUGGGGGGAAUGAAUGCAAGGAGCUUGGUCACUUUUAGGGAAACUAUUCUGUCUGAAGGGUCUUCCCAGGUGGCUCAGUGGUAAGGACUCUGCCUGCCAACGCAGGAGAUGUGGGUUCAAUCCCUGAGUCGGGAAGAUCCCCUGGAGAAGGGCAUGGCAACCC
rnacentral:lncRNA from 1 species